UGUCUCAGGACAUUUACUGGUGCAGAGCCUC
rnacentral:piRNA from 1 species